UUAAGGGGAGCGUUGGUGCACCCUCGUUGCCAGAUGAUCUCUUGUAUUCCUGCCGGUAACCUGUCUUUGCUCUCAUCACUAGGAUUCCCUAUGUGACACUCCUCAGGACGAGGAGACCAACUCUUGCUGGGACUGGUUGCCUGGCUCUGGAUCCCAACUGUCAGCCGUCCUCACACCCUCCUGCUACCUGCUCUACUGUCCGCUGUGAGCCUGAUUCUCACCAUCUACUGCACGCCAGACCAGUGAUCUCCUGUGCCAGCUCCUACACCUCCUCUGGACUGUGUUUCAUGCCUAUGGCGUUCACCUGACUUGAGCCACCAGCUGCGCCUCUCCUACAACCUCGGGUUGUAGCUCUAGCAGUCCAGUCAACCCAGCACUCCCCGCUGUCCUGAGAUCAGCUGACGAGACCGGUUCUG